UGUUUCGCACCGAGUUGGGAAGUGUGCGCGUGCGUACGCGCGCACCGUGAAAAAAAAGCCCGUGCACUCUGUCCCUGAUCUGUUGCGUGUGUAAGGAAACGUUUGUGCGAGGUUUAUUUUGUUUCAAACAAACCGGAGGGGAAGGAGGAGUUCAGCUCACUCGGUGUGAGAGCAGGCUGCCACGGAUCUUCAGCUCUGGGAGGAGAGCGGACUGAGUGUGUGUGUGUGUGUGCGCACGCGUGUGUGUGCGCGAGAAACACAACCAGCCUCUGUGCGCCGUGCUCAAACAAACCCGGGUUUGGAAGAUCAGCAGCGGGACCAUGGAGGAUCUUACAGCUGAGACCCCGAGUAAUGAAAAGUCAUGUCAGACAGGCGAGGUGGAUGAGAAGGCCCCGGUACUCAGACCAGCAUACUUUGUAGAGCCAGGAGACCCUCCACUGUUGCAGAAACCACUCCAGACAUCCAAGUCUGGCAUUCAGCAGAUUAUCGAAUGUUUACGCACAGGUACUCCACAGCUGAAACACAUGUUACUCAAAGAAGUGGACUUAAUAUUCGAGUGUAAGCUGUGUCAGAGCCUUUUCCGUGGCCUUCCGAACCUAAUCACGCACAAGGAGUUCUACUGCUUUCCCAGGCUGACACAAACAGAAGAGCUGUCAGGAACCUGCAGGCAGAGCAUCGCCAUUAAAGAGCUCCUGGAGGUGAUUCAUCCCCGGCCUACAGCGGACGAGGCGGUGGUGCGACUGGAGCCCAUACCUGGCAACCUAAACGCUGUGUUUCAACAUCUGACUAAACCAGGUGACCUGGAUGUUCAGAGCUCCAACAGUGGAAUUGAAGACUGGGGACAUAACCAACCAGAGAGCCAAGAGCAAGACAUGGCGGAAAAUGAUAUAAGUGGAGAAAGAGAGGACGAGGAAGCAAAUGAAGGCGACGACGAGGCAAACACGAAGAAGGAUCCUCAAGGAGAUGAAGAACAGGAGGAUGCAGGUGAGGAAAAGGUGCUUGGUGUUGGCACGGUCGAGGUGACCAUCUCGUGCAGCCUGUGCGGCAAAGACUUCAGCUCACGGCGCAGCGUACGUCGGCACUGCCGCGAAGUGCACAAGCAGCGGCUCGAGGAGCUGCGCAAGUUUACGGAGACACGCACAGUGCCCAUCAGUCUGCUGUCUGUGGUAAAGCAGCGCCCGGUGCACAACACACCUGCUCCAAAUGCCAAACGCUGCCAAGUAUGUUUUAAAACCUUUGCCACCAAAGCCAACGUCCGGCGCCACUUUGACGAGGUGCACCGUGGCCUCCAGCAUGAUGUGAACACACUUGAACACAUCUCCAACAAAUCAGGUGAUCUGGAAGUUAUGUCAGCUGUGCCCAGUCUCGCUCGCUCUCCUACCCCAAAUACAGCGUCCCCUGUACCCCAGUACGACGUGGACUCCCGCAAGUGCCUCCUGUGCAAGAGAAGCUACAGCACGCAAAAGCGGCUCAGGAAACACAUGCAUCUUGUUCAUAAGAUUCUCACUGGCCAAAGUGCUGUCUCCAGCUCUUCAGCUGACAAAAAAACUCAAUCUGGAAAGGUUGCAGGCACCAAAGACGUGCAAGGGCUCCUCAAGAGGCCGCGGGAGGAUGACAGAAAUGAGAACUCCCCAGUGGUGCGUAAGCCCAAGCUCUCUGUGGGCUUUGACUUUAAGCAGCUCUUCUGCAAGCUGUGCAAGCGGCAGUUCAGCUCUCGGCAGAAUCUCGCCAAGCACAUCGAGCUGCACACCGAUAACGGCGGCGACAUUUUCAUCAAGUUCUACCGCUGUCCAAUGUGCCGGUACGAGUCGCGCCGCAAGCGGGACGUGCUGCGUCACAUCUCUGUCGUGCACAAGAAAAACCCUGUCUACCUGGCCAAGAUCCUGCCGGUCCUGGAGAGCCGUGCUGUGAAGAAGUCUGCCGAAUCCGUGCUCAGCAGUUCAGUACAGAGCGGCGACUGGAAAGACUCGGAUGGCCACCGCAGGGCGGACAACGCAACAUCACCCAGCCCGCAGGAAGCCAGCCCAAAACAGGACGUCCGAACCCCGUCGCCGCCGGUCACACGCCGACAAAGUCUUUCCCUACAAGCUUCGUCUGUCACGAGCAGUCAGAACUCAAACGGAACGGCCGGUGGUGAGGAGACGCAGGACAGCACCGAAGUGCGCGUCACCAAGAACUUCUCACUACACGCGUGCGACGUGUGCGGACGUGCCUUUGCCAAGAAGCUCUACCUGGAGUCGCAUAAGAGGAGCCACCGCAAUGCAGCCAAGUGUGAUGGCAGGACUGUCGGCGUGAGCACACGCUCCAAAUCCCUUCUUUGGUGAGUGGUGAGGUUCUGCUGAGCAGAGCGAGGUUGAGAUUAUUCUAUUAUACUACGUUGCACCCUCUCACGUGCUAAUCGAGCAAGCUAUGAAGACCCGAAUGGGAGUUUUCUUUACACUGGACCAACUUGAAGCUCUGACAGGAACCUAACAGAUGCUUUUGGAAAAACACUGGAUUUCUGUCAGCGAGGCAGGAAUAAAGAGCUGCUAAUAUAUAUAUAUAUAUAUAUAUAUAUAUAUAUAUAUAUAUAUAUAUAUAUAAAUAAAAAAAUGAAGACCCAGAAGCAUGGACUCAAUGCCCCAGCUGUAACACAGUUAGAUAUACAGUAGAGAUGUGUUUGUAGCGCUGGUGUUUUGUUGGGUUUGUGUUGGGGUGAUUAAAUAAAGUUAAUUCGUUCCUUUUCGUUCUGCUUAGGCUGUCUAGACCUCUCAGUGGAUGUUCUAGUUGGACAUCACUUUUCACUAUUCCCAGAGACAAAAACAACAGUCUGUCCCUUCUGUGAUUUGAUCUGCCUGCAGAUUGGUCACUGCAGUGUCUCCGUCUCAGGCAAGAAGAGGACAAAUGUUCCAGGAUCCACAUUUAGCGGAUUAGAGCCAGGCCAAGCUCCUGAGUUAUAAAGGCUGUAGUGAUGAUGAUGAUGAUGAUGAUGAGGCAUGUGUCACUCAAUGCAAAUAUACACAUUUUGUUUCAUUACUGAAGGUAAAAGAUCCACAACUGCUAAUGUUUUGUAUAUUUCUGUUUUUGGUCGUUAUUUACGUUCGAACAGAAUCCUUGCUUUUCUUUCUGAAGGUCAACUCGACAGAUGUUCCUCAUGUUAAUCUAUAAGGAGCGUGUGUGAAAAGGAUUACAGAGUUUGCCCAACACAUAACUAUUAAAGCACUAAGUACUGAAUAAUGCCCUGUUGGACGUUACAGAUUGUACAGAAUUGCUGGAGUUGCUUAUUAUUUUCCAUGUAUUAUUUCCCCAGAAUUGUGCAAGAUGUCUGCUAACCGUAGCGAUAUAAGUUUCGUUGUACCUCAUUUUGUGUUUGAUGUACUUACAGUAUAUAUUAUUGAUGAUGACGGUGUUAUAGAUCUGUAUUAUACUUUUUCUAACAGGGGCUAAUGAAUGGAUCUGAUUACAAACAUAUGAUUUUCACCAGUAAAACAAAUGAAAUAUCA